GCCUCCAUAGCUCAGAGGUUAGAGCACUGGUCUUGUAAACCAGGGGU
rnacentral:tRNA from 1 species